GACGAACGCUGGCGGCGUGCUUAACACAUGCAAGUCGAACGAUGAAGCCGGAGCUUGCUCUGGUGAAUUAGUGGCGAACGGGUGAGUAACACGUGAGUAACCUGCCCUUGACUCUGGGAUAACUGCGGGAAACUGUAGCUAAUACCGGAUACGACCCUCGGCGGCAUCGCCAGGGGGUGGAAAGAAUUUCGGUCAAGGAUGGACUCGCGGCCUAUCAGCUAGUUGGUGAGGUAACGGCUCACCAAGGCGACGACGGGCAGCCGGCCUGAGAGGGUGACCGGCCACACUGGGACUGAGACACGGCCCAGACUCCUACGGGAGGCAGCAGUGGGGAAUAUUGCACAAUGGGCGCAAGCCUGAUGCAGCAACGCCGCGUGAGGGAUGACGGCCUUCGGGUUGUAAACCUCUUUUAGUAGGGAAGAAGCGAAAGUGACGGUAUCUGCAGAAAAAGCACCGGCUAACUACGUGCCAGCCGCCGCGGUAA
rnacentral:rRNA from 1 species